AACAUAAGAAAUUGCUCUCUGUUGACCUCAGUGGAUCUCAGUUUUAACCACCUCCGCACCUUCCCAAUGGGUCUGUGCUCUGGACUUUCUCUAUGUCAGCUUGACAUAAGUAAAAACAUUUUAUCGAAGUUACCCCCCAACAUUGGUGGAAUCCACACCUUGCAACGCCUGAAUCUCAGUGAAAACCGAUUCACUGGCGAAUUCCCCAAGCAUCUCUACCGACUUCACAGGCAUAUCCAUUUGGAUCUGAGCUACAAUUAAAUUCAGACCAUUCCAGAAGGAAUCUCCAGCUUGAAAAGAGUACAAGUGCUCGUACUUCAGGGGAAUAGGCUUACUGAGUUCCCUCUUGAGUUGCACCAUGUUAGGGCAGUACAAGUGCUUGACCUGUCUGAUAAUCAGAUAGGACGAGUUCCAUUAGAAAUACGAGAACUGAAAGACCUCAACCUUUCCAAUAAUCAGUCCUUCCUAUUUCCUGUGAAAGUGUGUGAUCUGAGAUUACUUGAAAAGUUGAAAAUCUGCCACAGAAGAGGCAUCAAGCUAACCACACUGCCAAAGACCUUGUCGAAACUAAGAUGUUUGAGAGAACUGGACUUCUGAGACAACGUAGUGCAGCAGAUUCCUGAGAGCAUCGGAGAGCUGGAUCACCUUACUAAGCUGAUAGCUAUCAAAAACGUUAUUAUAGUAAUUUAGAAGCCUAUUUAGUGUACAUUCGAAGGACCUGUUAUUAUGUGAAUCAUGCAUGUCUCCUCACUGAUUUUAAAACAACUCCACAAUGCUACUUCCUGUAGGGAAUCUUCUCCAGUCUUUACCUCCAGAUAUGGGCCAGCUCCAGUGUCUGAGGCAGUUGGAGCUGGAGGGGAAUCCUCUCACCAGACCUCCUAAGCAGAUCUGUGACGGACACCAAAUAUUCCCCAUUGGGACAGUACCUCAGCUCUGAAGUCACCUGGAAAAGUGGGGAUAAUACACAAGCAUUCCACAGUACAUUUCAUAUUCAAAUUGUAUUGUUAAGUACUGUAUGCUUGGCAAGUGAGGUAAUGUUGCAACUUUGUUAUUUUGUUAUAGAGCACAUCUUACAAAAGGCUUUCCGGUCUCUGACCAAUAACUUGCAGGGCGAUGAUUUUGAUCACUUCUGUGAGAAACUUAAGAUACCCACUGAGGAGUUUAAGACCAAAGAGAAUAAACGGUAUGACUUGAAUCAUCCAAUAAACCUCUAAUUUGGCAUAGAAUUUCAGUGAUAGAUAUUGUUCCUCAAUUUCAGGGUCCAAUUACAAUCAAGGAAUUGAUAGGAAAUGGAAUCACUCAAUUUGAUUACUUUGUGUGUGUAGGGCAUCCCAGAAGCAAAAAACCAUGCAGGCCCCGACUCUGUGGAGAGACUUAUUCCAUAGUGACCAGGAGGCAUCUGUCAUAGCUGACCAACUUGUGAGGACUCUGGUCUUGGCAGGCAUAUUCACACUCUCCUCUCAGGUUCAGGCCAUCAAGAUAUACCAAAGCCAUAAGACUGAAUACACUAUGCCAAAUGUGCUAUAUGAAUAGAGGCGUAGUUCAUGGCAUUGUGAAGUUGGAAAGUGAGAGGAGUAAUUUCUUUUUCAUAAAUGUACAUUUACCAAGUGAAUCCAUACCAAAGUAUUGAUUAUUGUUUGACCAUGAGAAUAAAUGCAAUUGGAUAUGCAUCAA